GUAAUUGUUAUUUUUUUCUGGUUUGAGAGAAAGAGAGGUUGGAUUGUUCUUAUAAAGGAGCAGAGAGAUCCGAAGCCGAAGAGGCCCAAGACGAUGAAACCUGACUAGGCACUGUAAAUGCCACGUCACGUGCGUGGUGGUAAAUCCUUUUUACGGAGACGUGUCAGUAACUGCUAAUGGUGAAGCUGACUCGUAACCAAUAGUUAAACGACACGUUGCUUAAGCGAAUCUUAUUUACUCCUCGUUCUGGACCGUCGGGGUAUAUUGUACCAUCUUAUGAGAAGUAAAAUACAAAUGAGGUAUAUUAAUAAUAUUUAAUUUUAUCGAUGGAAAAAAUUAAAUUCAGUUUAAAUUUUAAUACAUCAUUGUUUGAUCCGCUUUAUGUCAGUAAAUAGGGGAAAACAAUAUAUGUAGACUGACUACUA